UACGUAGGGUGCGAGCGUUAAUCGGAAUUACUGGGCGUAAAGCGUGCGCAGGCGGUCUUGUAAGUUUGACGUGAAAGCUCCCGGCUUAACUGGGAGAGGUCGUUGAAGACUGCAAGACUUGAGGAAAUGAGAGGGGUGUAGAAUUCCCGGUGUAGUGGUGGAAUGCGUAGAUAUCGGGGGGAAUACCAGUGGCGAAAGCGGCACCCUAGCAUUUUUCUGACGCUCAUGUGCGAAAGCGUGGGGAGCGAACGGG
rnacentral:rRNA from 1 species